rnacentral:rRNA from 1 species
GACGAACGCUGGCGGCGUGCUUAACACAUGCAAGUCGAACGGAAAGGCCCUGCUUUUGUGGGGUGCUCGAGUGGCGAACGGGUGAGUAACACGUGAGUAACCUGCCCUUGACUUUGGGAUAACUUCAGGAAACUGGGGCUAAUACCGGAUAGGAGCUCCUGCUGCAUGGUGGGGGUUGGAAAGUUUCGGCGGUUGGGGAUGGACUCGCGGCUUACCAGCUUGUUGGUGGGGUAGUGGCUUACCAAGACUUUGACGGGUAGCCGGCCUGAGAGGGUGACCGGCCACAUUGGGACUGAGAUACGGCCCAGACUCCUACGGGAGGCAGCAGUGGGGAAUAUUGCACAAUGGGCGGAAGCCUGAUGCAGCAACGCCGCGUGCGGGAUGACGGCCUUCGGGUUGUAAACCGCUUUCGCCUGUGACGAAGCGUGAGUGACGGUAAUGGGUAAAGAAGCACCGGCUAACUACGUG